rnacentral:rRNA from 1 species
UACAGGGGGGGCAAGCGUUGUUCGGAAUUACUGGGCGUAAAGGGCUCGUAGGCGGCCAACUAAGUCACACGUGAAAUCCCCAGGCUCAACCUGGGAACUGCGUGUGAUACUGGAUGGCUUGAAUUCGGGAGAGGGAUGCAGAAUUCCAGGUGUAGCGGUGAAAUGCGUAGAUAUCUGGAGGAAUACCGGUGGCGAAGGCGGCAUCUUGGACCGACAUUGACGCUGAUGAGCGAAAGCUAGGGGAGCAAACGGG